UACGUAGGGGGCAAGCGUUGUCCGGAUUUAUUGGGCGUAAAGAGCGUGUAGGCGGCCAUACAGGUCCGUUGUGAAAACUCGAGGCUCAACCUCGAGACGUCGAUGGAAACCGUAUGGCUAGAGUCCGGAAGAGGAGACUGGAAUUCCUGGUGUAGCGGUGAAAUGCGCAGAUAUCAGGAGGAACACCGGUGGCGAAGGCGGGUCUCUGGGCCGUAACUGACGCUGAGGAGCGAAAGCAUGGGGAGCGAACAGG
rnacentral:rRNA from 1 species